GUCCGACCUUUACGGCUGAGAGAGAGACUCUCAGCUUUCGGUGGGUUCCACAGCUAGACGGGCCACCAUCUUACAUUAGGCUUUCACCUUGAUGUCUGACUCCGGGUUUUUAUUAUUAAGACCAAUUGGAAUUCAUGCUACAAGUGAUCACCAAGAAGAUCUCAGUCGUCAUGGGCUGAGGAAUGAACCCAGGGCUUUGCGCUUGCUAGGCAAGUGCUCUACUACUGAGCUAAAUCCCCAACCCCAAGACCUUGAUUUUUACUGGUUGAAGAUGCCUAAUAAGCUACCCCAAAAGCCAGCCUGACUGCCAUCACAGCGUCCUAGCUGGUUUGAACACUUCAUAGACGCUGUGAAGAAACCACCCUUCAGAUGCCAGGAAUACCGCUGCCUCCCCUACUGACCAGGAGCUGCAAUUCAGAAGGCCUUAGUCCAGUCACCAGCAUUCCAGACAAAGUACACUGGCUUUGCAGGACUUCUCCAAACCUUCUAGAACUCUAGGUGACCCUGAUCACUCUGUGACUAUUUUCACUCAUGCCACAUGGAGGGGGGACAUACUCCUGACCUUCCCGACUCCACAGAAAGCUUGUGGUUCAUGAAGAUUAGAGUUUGUGAUUGGUCAUUACAUAAGGCAUGUGGUUGGAAGUGAUCUGUGUUGUGAUUGGUGUAGAUUACAUUGGCAUGCUCCAUACUUGCCACACUCUUUCUGGCAAUAGAACCAAGCAGGUCCUCUUCCAUGUACUGACCUCAGUGUCACAGCAUUGGGCUCAAAAUAAAAUCUUCUCUUUAAUUUU